rnacentral:tRNA from 1 species
UGCGGCUGGAUCACCUCCUUUCAAGGAAUUGUCCUGAUACGUUGGGACGUUUCUGAACAAAAAGUCCUGCAUUGGAUCAGUGCAGGCACAGCGAGUUCUGUUUCUUUGGCAGGGCGCCGUCAACAUAUCCCUUUCUACGAUGUUUAUGGGCUAGUAGCUCAGUUGGUUAGAGCACACGCUUGAUAAGCGUGGGGUCGGAGGUUCAAGUCCUCCCUGGCCCACCACCGCCUUUGUCUGGCGUGGUGGCGGGUGACCGGCGGGUGACCCUAUGGGGGCGUAGCUCAGCUGGGAGAGCACCUGCUUUGCAAGCAGGGGGUCGUCGGUUCGAUCCCGUCCGCCUCCACCAAUUUUCGUGUGUCUCCUCUAAAAAAGCAAAGCGCGCGCCGGAGAUUGGGGCAGAAGACGACAUCGUGGAAAAAGGGAAAAGAGUUUCGUCCUUAUGGCCGCACGAGCGGCGAUGACGGCGAGAAAGUUGGUUCUUUGUCAGUGUGAAUAGGUUGGUGCGCUCUCUGGGUGCUGCCGAGAUCCGGGUUGGUCUGACCCGUUUGGCGAAGUCGUUUUUGGCUUUGCUGAAUGUUUAAGGAUUUCGGCGCGAAGCGGUCAGAGAGCGUUUUGUGAAUGAAUGCGUGCGAUGCAUUGCACUUUCUCUGUGCGGCGCGGUUCAUGCGGUUUUCUGCCUUGGUGGAAAGCUUGGCGUGGAUGGUUGCUGUGCAUGUGUGGUGUGUGAGCAUGAGAAGGGCAUUCGGUGGAUGCCUUGGCAUC